rnacentral:rRNA from 1 species
UACGGAGGGUGCAAGCGUUAAUCGGAAUUACUGGGCGUAAAGCGUGCGCAGGCGGUUUGUUAAGUCCGUUGUGAAAGCCCCGAGCUCAACUUGGGAAUUGCAGUGGAUACUGGCAGGCUGGAGUACGGUAGAGGAAGGUGGAAUUCCCGGUGUAGCAGUGAAAUGCGUAGAGAUCGGGAGGAACAUCAGUGGCGAAGGCGACUCUUUGGCCUGUAACUGACACUGAGGCGCGAAAGCGUGGGGAGCAAACAGG